rnacentral:rRNA from 1 species
CCCUUAGAUGUCCGGGGCCGCACGCGCGCUACACUGAAGGAAUCAGCGUGGCUUUCUCCCUGACCCGAAGGGGUUGGGAAACCCGUUGAAUCUCCUUCGUGAUAGGGAUUGGGGCUUGAAAUUGUUCCCCAUGAACGAGGAAUUCCCAGUAAGCGCGAGUCAUAAGCUCGCGUUGAUUACGUCCCUGCCCUUUGUACACACCGCCCGUCGCUACUACCGAUUGAACGGUUUAGUGAGGGCCUCGGAUUGGUCUCGGCCCGCUCUUUACCGGGCGGCGCCGUUGGUCGAGAAGACGCUCGAACUUGAUCGUUUAGAGGAAGUAAAAGUCGUAACA